GGCGAGAGCGCAGCGGGGUUGCCCGGCUCCGACCGGAGGUGCGGAACUCGGUCCACCUCAGGCCGCGGGAAUUUAGUCUCACGCUUUCCGCCAGGGACCGUCCCUGCUCGACACACACGGAAACCGAGGCUCUUGGAGGUUAAAUUACUUGACCAAGGUUACUCUGGAUUUUCCUGAAAAUCAACGUUACCUCCUUCCUUGAGAGCCGGUUUUGGAAAGCUGUCUGCAGAAGCCUCUGAGGAGACUCUUUGUUCAUGAAAAGCUUGAGACCUUAGCCCUAGAGGAUUGGGGAGUAGUCAUUUACGCUGACCCAGUGCUCUCAAGGUCCUGGACAGGUGAAUGGAGGAGCCAGGAAAAAGGAAGCAUUACUGACACUAAACGAGAGAAACGAGUGGGAGUUGUGCACGGAAAAAUGUCUGGAUGUCUGCCUUCUACAGUGUUAUUUAUUCA